UAAUUUAGUUUAAAAAAAACAACAAUUUGUGGGAUUGAAAAUCUUAUAUUAAA
rnacentral:tRNA from 1 species